AGAUUGAACGCUGGCGGCAGGCCUAACACAUGCAAGUCGAGCGGCAGCACGGGUACUUGUACCUGGUGGCGAGCGGCGGACGGGUGAGUAAUGCCUAGGAAUCUGCCUGAUAGUGGGGGGAUAACGUUUCGGAAACGGACGCUAAUACCGCAUACGUCCUACGGGAGAAAGUGGGGGAUCUUCGGACCUCACGCUAUCAGAUGAGCCUAGGUCGGAUUAGCUAGUUGGUAGGGUAAAGGCCUACCAAGGCUACGAUCCGUAACUGGUCUGAGAGGAUGAUCAGUCACACUGGAACUGAGACACGGUCCAGACUCCUACGGGAGCAGCAGGUGGGAAUAUUGGACAAUGGGCAAAGCCUGAUCCAGCCAUGCCGCGUAGCGUGAAGAAGGUCUCGGAUUGUAAAGCUAACUUUAAGUUGGAGGUAAAGGUCAAUUAACCUAAGUUACGUUAGUGUUUUAGACGUUACGACAGAAUAAGCAACCGCUAACUCUAGUCGCCUAGCAGCCGACGGUAAC
rnacentral:rRNA from 1 species